rnacentral:rRNA from 1 species
GUGGGGAAUAUUGGACAAUGGGCGAAAGCCUGAUCCAGCCAUGCCGCGUGUGUGAAGAAGGUCUUCGGAUUGUAAAGCACUUUAAGUUGGGAGGAAGGGUAGUAACCUAAUACGUUGCUACUUUGACGUUACCGACAGAAUAAGCACCGGCUAACUUCGUGCCAGCAGCCGCGGUAAUACGAAGGGUGCAAGCGUUAAUCGGAAGUACUGGGCGUAAAGCGCGCGUAGGUGGUUCAGUAAGUUGGAAGUGAAAUCCCCGGGCUCAACCUGGGAACUGCUUUCAAAACUGCUGAGCUAGAGUACGGUAGAGGGUGGUGGAAUUUCCUGUGUAGCGGUGAAAUGCGUAGAUAUAGGAAGGAACACCAGUGGCGAAGGCGACCACCUGGACUGAUACUGACACUGAGGUGCGAAAGCGUGGGGAGCAAACAGGAUUAGAUACCCCGGUAGUCC